rnacentral:rRNA from 1 species
UACGGGGGGGGCAAGCGUUGUUCGGAAUUACUGGGCGUAAAGGGCUCGUAGGUGGCCAACUAAGUCAGACGUGAAAUCCCUCGGCUUAACCUGGGAACUGCGUCUGAUACUGGACGGCUUGAGUAUGGGAGAGGGAUGUAGAAUUCCAGGUGUAGCGGUGAAAUGCGUAGAUAUCUGGAGGAAUACCGGUGGCGAAGGCGGCAUCCUGGACCAUUACUGACGCUGAGGCGCGAAAGCUAGGGGAGCAAACGGG